rnacentral:rRNA from 1 species
AUUGAACGCUGGCGGCAGGCCUAACACAUGCAAGUCGAGCGAGCGGCGGACGGGGGAGUAAUGUAUGGGGACUGCCCGAUAGAGGGGGAGAACUACUGGAAACGGUGGCUAAUACCGCAUACUGUCGUAGCACGCAUAUGGGAUUAGCUAGUAGGUAAGGUAAUGGCUUACCUAGGCGACGAUCCCUAGCUGGUCUGGGAGGAUGAGCCGCCACACUGGGACUGAGACACGGCCCAGACUCCUACGGAGGCAGCAGUGGGGAAUAUUGCACAAUGGGCGCAAGCCUGAUGCAGCCAUGCCGCGUGUAUGAAGAAGGCCCUAGGGUUGUAAAGUACUUUCAGUCGGGAGGCGUUACCGACAGAAGAAGCACCGGCUAACUCCGUGCCAGCAGCCGCGGUAAUAC